AAGACAGGAAGAAUGAAGUGC
rnacentral:miRNA from 1 species